UUGUGAUGUCAUAUGGCUUGGUCUCAGAAAGAUUAAAGCCAUGCAUGUUUAAGUAUAAAGCAAUAUGCCGUUGAGACUGCGAAUGGCUCAUUAAAUCAAGUUAAUCGUUUAUUUGAUAAUACCUUACUACUUGGAUAACCGUGGUAAUUCUAGAGCUAAUACAUGCUGAAAAUCCCGACUUCGGAAGGGAUGUGUUUAUUAGAUAAAAAACCAAUGCCCUUCGGGGCUUUUUGGUGAUUCAUGAUAACUUUACGGAUCGCAUAGCCUUGCGCUGGCGACGGUUCAUUCAAAUUUCUGCCCUAUCAACUUUCGAUGGUAAGGUAUUGGCUUACCAUGGUUUCAACGGGUAACGGGGAAUUAGGGUUCGAUUCCGGAGAGGGAGCCUGAGAAACGGCUACCACAUCCAAGGAAGGCAGCAGGCGCGCAAAUUACCCAAUCCCGACACGGGGAGGUAGUGACAAUAAAUACUGAUACAGGGCUCUUUUGGGUCUUGUAAUUGGAAUGAGUACAAUUUAAACCUCUUAACGAGGAACAAUUGGAGGGCAAGUCUGGUGCCAGCAGCCGCGGUAAUUCCAGCUCCAAUAGCGUAUAUUAAAGUUGUUGCAGUUAAAAAGCUCGUAGUUGAAACUUGGGCCUGGCUGGCGGGUCCGCCUCACCGCGUGCACUCGUCCGGCCGGGCCUUCCUUCUGAAGAACCUCAUGCCCUUCACUGGGCGUGCUGGGGAAUCAGGACUUUUACUUUGAAAAAAUUAGAGUGUUCAAAGCAGGCCUUUGCUCGAAUACGUUAGCAUGGAAUAAUAAAAUAGGGCGUGCGUUUCUAUUUUGUUGGUUUCUAGAGACGCCGCAAUGAUUAACAGGAACAGUCGGGGGCAUCAGUAUUCAGUUGUCAGAGGUGAAAUUCUUGGAUUUACUGAAGACUAACUACUGCGAAAGCAUUUGCCAAGGAUGUUUUCAUUAAUCAGUGAACGAAAGUUAGGGGAUCGAAGACGAUCAGAUACCGUCGUAGUCUUAACCGUAAACUAUGCCGACUAGGGAUCGGGCGAUGUUCUUUUUCUGACUCGCUCGGCACCUUACGAGAAAUGUAGUCAUAGUAGGGUCCACAACUCAGGGGGGA
rnacentral:rRNA from 1 species